rnacentral:rRNA from 1 species
UACGUAUGGUGCAAGCGUUAUCCGGAUUUACUGGGCGUAAAGGGAGCGCAGGCGGCGCGCCAAGUCUGAUGUGAAACCCCGGGGUUCAACCCCGGGCAUGCAUUGGAAACUGGCGGGCUGGAGUGCCGGAGAGGUAAGCGGAAUUCCUAGUGUAGCGGUGAAAUGCGUAGAUAUUAGGAGGAACACCAGUGGCGAAGGCGGCUUACUGGACGGCAACUGACGCUGAGGCUCGAAAGCGUGGGGAGCAAACAGG